rnacentral:lncRNA from 1 species
AGUUGUACACAUAACAUGCUUACCGUGUGCUUGCUUUGAGUCCCUUCUGAGCUCCCAUGCAAUGUAGACUCAUCGGAAUCCCGUGCUCAUGGGAUUUUAUGAACACUAUAUGCAAAUAGGACAGCAAGAAAUGGCAGUAAACGCUUUUAUUGUUGCUAUCUCCUCUGCUCCUGCACAUGCUCCAUGGUAUCGUUGGACUUCACUUACAAAACACAGAUACAAAGACAAAAUUACUAAGAAUUACCAAGAAUUUUAAUUUCAAGAUGGCAACAGAGUAUUAAACCAAAGAUGAAGUCGUUCUGAGUGUGGGGUUUGCGAGAUGGCACAGGUGGCACUCCCAGGAGCUCGUCUUGGCCAGGUCGCACCCUUGAGUCCAUUGGAACCUGAAUCUCACCCUGCUCUGCUAUGCUAUACUGACUCCAGCUGAAUUCAAGGAGUUACAGUUUGAAACUCUCCAGACUCCAGUGGCCAUCCCACUUGUGGUGAGUAGCUUUAAAUAAAAUAUGCUCACAAAUUAUUUAAUAUACUUUCCUUUAAAAAAUGGAGCUUAAUUCCUUUCAAGUGUGGACUAUUUUUAGUGACUUACCUCUAAAAAAUAUUAUAUGGCAAAAGUGAUGAAGUAUGAUUUACAACAAUUGAUCCUGGAAGAUACUGCAUCUUCCAUCUUGCUGUCUCUCCUAGAUCACUUGCUCUGAGGGAGGACAUCUGCUGUAUCAUGAGGACGCAAAACCAUCCCAUGGAGGGUGCUACAUGCAGAGCAGCUGAGGCCUCCUGCUAGUUGUCAGUGAGGAACCGAGGCUUCUUGCCAAUGGCCAUGUGAGUGAGCCAUCUUGCAAACAGAUCCCCUAACCCCAGUUAAGCCCUUCAGGCAAACUGCAACGUUGUCAAGUCUUAACUGCAACCUCAUGAGAGACCCUAGGCCAUAGCCACCAGCUAAGCUGCUCUUGAAUUCCUGACUCAGAAACUUUGAGAUCAUGAAUCUUUGUUGUAUUAGGCCUCCAACCUUAGGGGUAAUUGGUUAUGCAGCAAUAGAUAACUAAUAUACCAUUAUUUUCAAGCGGGACUAUAAGCUUGGUACAACCCAAACACCAAAGUAUAUCCAAGAGUUUUCUUGGCCAUGUUAGGAAGUCUCAGAAGACCUCAAAAUGAAAAGCAGACAAGCCUCUACUCAUAGAGUGCACAUUAGGCCGAUAUAAUAUUUAGCUUUUCUAGAUGCUUUAUUU